GGGCGGGUAGCGUAGUGGCCAGCGCAUUCCCUGAGCGUUUUUCCCUAAGCGGAUUUCAUUUCAGCGUUGAUUUCUAAUUAUACUACAAGCGUUCAUUGAAAGACCUGGGUUCGAGUCCCAGCCCGUCCA